ensembl:lncRNA
UGCCUUUUCUUCCCACUACUUUCCUGAGCUUUACUUUUGACGGGGGAGUGGUCUGAGUGAUCAGAGAUGCAUGCUGGGGUUUUGCGCUGUCUGAAGUCUAAAUUUCUGUGCGCUUUCUUAAGUAGUACCAGUUUCUUUGCAGACCGACUGCUAUUGUUGGUUACCAGACGUUGAGGCUGUUUGUCCCAGACCAGGCCCCAGGGUGGAGGAGGUGAUGGAGCCGUGCUGGGGACCAGCUGGUGAAGGAAGUCCCUCGUGGGGUUAUUACGUCUCUAAAGGGACUAUCACCCUCACCUCAAUUUAAUAGGCUGCUGCUGCUGCAUCAUCUACUUGGAUUUAAAAGCCAGCACAGGUUCAAACAGGGUGUCUAAAGAAUAACCUCCCCAGGGUUCAACUUCCCGGCUGUGUUACCAGACCAGGGGUCCUGGGCUGAGGAGAGCUGAUGGAGGAGCCUGGAAUCUGCCUGCCAACAAGUAGUACUGGGCGUGGCAGAGGGAGGUGAUGGAGGACCUGCCUGGUGAAGGAUGUCCUGCUGGACGAGAGACACCAACUCUAAAGGGACGACCACUGAGGAGAGAGAGCUAGAGCCGUGCAUCUGGAAGGUGAAUCUGGUGCCGACGGCCCUCUACAGGCCAGGAUAAGUCUGGGGCCGACGCACCUGAGCGGCACCCCACCUGCUCCUCUGCACAGCUGGACUCCUUCAGAGGGACAAACAAACGGCAUCACAGCCGAGCUCAUCGCUGGACUGGAUUCAUCUCCUACACUCAGACCUUCACCUCAUGCUGCUCACUGGGACCCUCCUCAGGGCUCUCAUUGGGACUCCCCUCAGGGCGUCCAUCAGGGCUCCUCCCCUCAGUGGGGGGGCUCCUGCUCCCCGCAGUCGGGUGUUCCUCAGGGUACAGUGUUAGGGAG